GACGCAAUAUUGUAAAAGUUUAGAAUCAAUCUGACUAAAUAACGAGGAACAUGACUAUUUCUAAAGAUGAAUCAUCGGCAAGCGACAACUGUGAAACACAAGCUUUACACGAACCAGAAUUCACACAAAAAACUUUUGAAUCCAGUGUCAAUUCAAUACAGUAUUGCGAAUUGUGUGUUGAUAACAACGGAGCAGUUUACAGAUGCAGAGAUUGCGCUAAAAAUAUUUGUAACUAUUGCAAAUUGUAUCAUACCAAAGUAUGGAAGGUGAUGGGACAUGAAAUUUGUAGACUGGAUGAAAUAAAUUAGCACUCCUUGAAUUCGAUUAUUACUCAGAAAAUACAACUUACAGAUAUAACUUAAUAUCAGUGUAAUGUGAUAUAAAUGUAUCUUCGACCUGAAUAGCAAUAAAAGUUUCUUGAUUA